GGAGUUAGGAAAUGCAGGUGCGUUAAUAGCGCACUUGCUUGACUAAGGCUCCAGAGGAAGCCACGGCCAACUCUGUGCCAGCAGCCGCGGUAAUACAGAGGCGGCAAGCGUUGUUCGGAAUUAUUGGGCGUAAAGAGCACGUAGGCGGCCUUGCAAGUCAGUUGUGAAAGCCUUCCGCUUAACGGAAGAACGGCAUCUGAUACUACAGGGCUUGAGUACGGGAGGGGAGAGUGGAACU
rnacentral:rRNA from 1 species